rnacentral:piRNA from 1 species
UAGAGGGAUGAAUAACAGGCAUAUAAAAGUA